rnacentral:rRNA from 1 species
GACUGAUUUGCUUGAUUUUUUUAUGAGUGACUUUAUUGUUGUUUUAUUAUUUGUUGGGGGGUUUUAUCUGUGUGAUAAUAUAUAAACUAAGAUAAUGUAUUGAAUAAUUUUAUUUUUUAAACAAGAAUUAGAUACUCUUUUAUAGAUAAAUUUAUUUGAAGUUUCUCAGUUAUAACUGAAAGAAAUUGGCAGCCAAUUAUAUCCUUCUAGGGGAGUGUGUAUUUUAAUAGAUGUUCCGCUUAUUAUUUUACUGUGUUUAUUUUGUUAGUGUAUAUCCGGUUUAGUUAUAUAAAAUAAAUGUUUUGUGUAUAAAUAAUUUUUUAAUCCAGGUCAAUAUGCUGCUUAUAAUAUAGUUAAUAUUCGCUACAUUUUAAAAAUUGUUUAAUGAGAUUUUUAUUGUUUUAGGACUUAGUAGUAUUAUAAAAUUUUAAAUAGUUUAUGAGAAUAAGGUUUAUUUGGGGCACACAUCGCCCGUCAUUUUCAAUUAUUUGUU